UGGUUCUGGCAUCGAUGAAGAACGCAGCGAAAUGCGAUAAGUAAUGUGAAUUGCAGAAUUUAGUGAAUCAUCGAAUCUUUGAACGCACAUUGCGCCCCUUGGUAUCCCGAGGGGCAUGCCUGUCCGAGCGUCAUAUACGCCAUCUCGAGCAGUCUUGCUUGGUGUUGAGCCUGGCUAGUGCUAGCCGGCUCCAAAUCCAGAGGCGGCGCCGUAGGGUCCCGAGCGUAGUAGCAUAUACACCUCGCUGAUGGGUCCUGGCGUGCGACGACCCCAACCCCCAACUUCUUAUAGUUGACCUCGGAUCAGGUAGGAGUACCCGCUGA
rnacentral:misc_RNA from 1 species